UACGAAGGGUGCAAGCGUUACUCGGAAUUACUGGGCGUAAAGCGUGCGUAGGUGGUGAGUUAAGUCUGUCGUGAAAGCCCCGGGCUCAACCUGGGAAUGGCGAUGGAUACUGGCUCGCUAGAGUGCGGUAGAGGAGAGUGGAAUUCCCGGUGUAGCAGUGAAAUGCGUAGAUAUCAGGAGGAAUACCGGUGGCGAAAGCGACUCUCUGGACGGCAACUGACGCUGAGGCACGAAAGCGUGGGGAGCAAACAGG
rnacentral:rRNA from 1 species